ACAGGACGUUGAACGAUUUGGAUGUCAAUCAGGGCAUGGCCAUUAAUGAGAAUGGAUGUUGAUUGAAUGGACGUUAAAUGGGGGAUACGUGUAUGUGCACACGUCAAGGCCUGACUCCCAGUGCUGCAGCAGUGGAUGUUUCUGACGUGUCGUCCUGUGGCUUUUGGACACCUGG